rnacentral:miRNA from 1 species
ACAAGUUAGGGUCUCAGGGA